CUCCUUAACUAACACCUAGCUGCUGAAUAUAGACAUUUAAUAACAGAGAACGUUAUGAGCUUAUAAACCUUCCUUAACCACCCGUCCACCACCUGGUUGCUGAAUAUAAACACUUAAUAACAGAGAACUUAUAAACCUUUCUGGUGGCUGAAUAUAGACAUUUAAUAAUAGAGAACUUAUAAAUAAACCUUCCUGGUUGCUGAAUGUAGACUUAAGACAUUUAAUAACAGAGAACUUAUAAACCUUCCUUAACCACAAGUCCACCACCUGGUUGCUGAAUAUAGACAUUUAAUAAUGGAGACCUUAUAAACCUUCCUUAACCACCAGUCCACCACCUUGGCUGCUGAACCAUGUUUUGAGGAAAGCUUCCUGCUGAGAAAAUGGUUUUUCUGCUGAUUUAUCAUCAACGAAGCGAAUUUAUUUGGUGUCAACCUUUCAUGUAUUUUUGGUAAGAUGUUAUGAAUGAUGAACGUAAGUCACCAAUGCUA